rnacentral:rRNA from 1 species
GGCGGCGUGCUUAACACAUGCAAGUCGAACGGAAAGGCCCUGCUUUUGUGGGGUGCUCGAGUGGCGAACGGGUGAGUAACACGUGAGUAACCUGCCCUUGACUUUGGGAUAACUUCAGGAAACUGGGGCUAAUACCGGAUAGGAGCUCCUGCUGCAUGGUGGGGGUUGGAAAGUUUCGGCGGUUGGGGAUGGACUCGCGGCUUAUCAGCUUGUUGGUGGGGUAGUGGCUUACCAAGGCUUUGACGGGUAGCCGGCCUGAGAGGGUGACCGGCCACAUUGGGACUGAGAUACGGCCCAGACUCCUACGGGAGGCAGCAGUGGGGAAUAUUGCACAAUGGGCGGAAGCCUGAUGCAGCAACGCCGCGUGCGGGAUGACGGCCUUCGGGUUGUAAACCGCUUUCGCCUGUGACGAAGCGUGAGUGACGGUAAUGGGUAAAGAAGCACCGGCUAACUACGUGCCAGCAGCCGCGGUGAUACGUAGGGUGCGAGCGUUGUCCGGAUUUAUUGGGCGUAAAGGGCUCGUAGGUGGUUGAUCGCGUCGGAAGUGUAAUCUUGGGGCUUAACCCUGAGCGUGCUUUCGAUACGGGUUGACUUGAGGAAGGUAGGGGAGAAUGGAAUUCCUGGUGGAGCGGUGGAAUGCGCAGAUAUCAGGAGGAACACCAGUGGCGAAGGCGGUUCUCUGGGCCUUUCCUGACGCUGAGGAGCGAAAGCGUGGGGAGCGAACAGGCUUAGAUACCCUGGUAGUCCACGCUGUAAACGGUGGGUACUAGGUGUGGGGUCCAUUCCACGGGUUCCGUGCCGUAGCUAACGCUUUAAGUACCCCGCCUGGGGAGUACGGCCGCAAGGCUAAAACUCAAAGGAAUUGACGGGGCCCCGCACAAGCGGCGGAGCAUGCGGAUUAAUUCGAUGCAACGCGUAGAACCUUACCUGGGUUUGACAUGGAUCGGGAGUGCUCAGAGAUGGGUGUGCCUCUUUUGGGGUCGGUUCACAGGUGGUGCAUGGCUGUCGUCAGCUCGUGUCGUGAGAUGUUGGGUUAAGUCCCGCAACGAGCGCAACCCUUGUUCACUGUUGCCAGCACGUUAUGGUGGGGACUCAGUGGAGACCGCCGGGGUCAACUCGGAGGAAGGUGGGGAUGACGUCAAGUCAUCAUGCCCCUUAUGUCCAGGGCUUCACGCAUGCUACAAUGGCUGGUACAGAGAGUGGCGAGCCUGUGAGGGUGAGCGAAUCUCGGAAAGCCGGUCUCAGUUCGGAUUGGGGUCUGCAACUCGACCUCAUGAAGUCGGAGUCGCUAGUAAUCGCAGAUCAGCAACGCUGCGGUGAAUACGUUCCCGGGGCUUGUACACACCGCCCGUCAAGUCAUGAAAGUUGGUAACACCCGAAGCCGGUGGCCUAACCGUUGUGGGGGAGCCGUCGAAGGUGGGACUGGUGAUUAGGACUAAGUCAUAACA